rnacentral:lncRNA from 1 species
AUAUCGAACCGAACACGAGCAAACUGACCCUAGCUCAUGUUUUGCUCAUUAAAAUUUUGAGCUGAAAAAUUUAGCUCAUAUUUGCCUCGUUUAUAAAACAAGUGAUAGAUUUUGAAGUCAUUUUAGAGCCGAACAUGAGCUGACUCGCGAACAACUAAGUGACUCACGAUAGGGAGCUCGAUUGCCAGGCUCAUUAAGAUCAUUUCAAGUUGAAAAAUUCAGUUCGUAUUCAACUUGUUUAUUAAAUGAGUGAUCGAUCUCGAGCUAAUUUUCAAGUUGACUCACGAACAGAGAGCUAGCUCACAAACAAUGAGCAGGGUUAAGAUUUCAGGCUGAAAAAUUUAACUUGUAUUUGACUUGUUUAUUAAAGAGUGAUCGUUCGAGUCGAACACGAGCUAGCUCGUGUUCGACUCGAACGAUCACCGUGAACAACGAGCUGGUUU